rnacentral:rRNA from 1 species
UACGUAGGGUGCAAGCGUUAAUCGGAAUUACUGGGCGUAAAGCGUGCGCAGGCGGUUAUGCAAGACAGAGGUGAAAUCCCCGGGCUCAACCUGGGAACUGCCUUUGUGACUGCAUAGCUAGAGUACGGUAGAGGGGGAUGGAAUUCCGCGUGUAGCAGUGAAAUGCGUAGAUAUGCGGAGGAACACCGAUGGCGAAGGCAAUCCCCUGGACCUGUACUGACGCUCACGCACGAAAGCGUGGGGAGCAAACAGG